rnacentral:snRNA from 1 species
GUGCUCGCUUCAGCAGCACACUUACUAAAAUUGGAACGAUACAGAGAAGAUUAGCAUGGCCCCUGCACAAGGAUGACAUGCAAAUUCGUGAAGCGUUCCAUAUUUAA